CCCGUAUCAUUUAAAUCAGACAGUUGCUUGCAGCGAUUUGUCAUCUGAACAGAUACAUCAAGUAGGUUAUUAAGCUGAUUGUGAGCUAGAUUAGUAUGAUAAAUCAUCAAAUCAGCCAUAACUUCAAUCAAAUUAGGUACUGAACACACAAAAAAUGCCUAUUAUAAAAUUAUGAAAAGUUCAUAAUUUUUAUUACUGAAAAGAUUUCCGCAGUCGACAAAUUUAUCUUUCAGUAUAGAAUUAACUGCAUUGGACGUACUCUUUGCUUUCGCUUCAUAUUUAUUAUAAAUUGUACACAAAAUACAAGUCUCGCAGGAAGUAUGUUGAAUAUAGAGAUUCACCGAAAUAAAAUAUAAUACUGACAAAAGUAAAUAUAAAAAAAGUGUUCAAAAAGUACUGAUCUUACAUACUAUUUGAGAAGAUACAAUAAUAUCAAAGAGUGGAAUGUCUUCUACAAAUGUUAAAAUACUUUCAAGAAACAAAUCAUGUUUUAACUAUUUUAACUAAAAAUAUCUCAAUUUUAGCUUCAAACAUUAUAACUAAUAUGUUCUCCUUUUGCAUAAUGAGAUGCAUGUUUUUUUUUUGUUUCUUUUUUUUGCCCCCAAUCUGAUAUUAAACAUUCACCAAUUAAUUUGGCUUUAACCAAUGGUAAUUACACAUUAUGGACGGCACACAGAUACAAGUUCACG